GCCCCAAAAAAUGGAAAUUGAGAAGAAGAAGACAUAGAUGUAAGAGCAGACAGACAAUGAUGUGAAGGACUUAAGGUACUCCAUGUAACAGAAAAAUCAAAUGGCUCACAGAAAACAAAUGGCUCACAGAAAAGGUACGUAUCAGGCGCAAUCUCAUGGCAGCAGUAGUCUUCCUAUCAUC